rnacentral:rRNA from 1 species
GAUGAACGCUAGCGGCAGGCUUAACACAUGCAAGUCGAGGGGUAGAGGAAGCUUGCUUCCUUGAGACCGGCGUACGGGUGCGUAACGCGUAUGCAACCUACCUUUUACAAAGGGAUAGCCCAGAGAAAUUUGGAUUAAUACCUCAUGGUAUAUAUCAUUCGCAUGUUUGAUAUAUUAAAGUUCCAACGGUAAAAGAUGGGCAUGCGUCCUAUUAGCUAGAUGGUAAGGUAACGGCUUACCAUGGCAACGAUAGGUAGGGGUCCUGAGAGGGAGAUCCCCCACACUGGUACUGAGGCACGGACCAGACUCCUACGGGAGGCAGCAGUGAGGAAUAGUGGACAAUGAGCGCAAGCCUGAUCCAGCCAUGCCGCGUGCAAGAAGAAGCAUCUAUGGUGUGUAAACUGCUUUUGUACGGGAAGAAACACUCCUUCGUGAAGGAGCUUGACGGUACCGUAAGAAUAAGGAUCGGCUAACUCCGUGCCAGCAGCCGCGGUAACAC